rnacentral:tRNA from 2 species
UGCAGAUAUGGUGGAAUGGCAGACACGAUAUCUUGAGGGGGUAUUACUUUUAGAAGUGUGCGGGUUCAAGUCCCGCUAUCUGCACCAA